GUGAAUCAUCGAAUCUUUGAACGCAUAUUGCGCCCUCUGGUAUUCCGGGGGGCACACCUGUUCGAGCGCCAUUUCGACCCCUCAAGCAUUGCUUGGUGUUGGGCUAGGUCCGGAGGGACCGGCCCGUAACCCGUAGGCGGCCACCGCCCGCGCCCCCAGCGUAGCAGGCUCACGCACUCGCUCGGGGAUCGGCGAAUGGCCCGUCCAUCGCGAAAACCUCUCAAGGUUUGGCCUCGGAUCAGGUGGGGAUACCCGCUGAACUUAAGCAUAUCAAUAAGCGGAGGA
rnacentral:misc_RNA from 1 species